rnacentral:rRNA from 1 species
GACGAACGCUGGCGGCGUGCUUAACACAUGCAAGUCGAACGGUAAGGCCCUUCGGGGUACACGAGUGGCGAACGGGUGAGUAACACGUGGGCGAUCUGCCCUGCACUUCGGGAUAAGCCUGGGAAACUGGGUCUAAUACCGGAUAGGACCACUGCCUGCAUGGGUGGUGGUGGAAAGCUUUUGCGGUGUGGGAUGGGCCCGCGGCCUAUCAGCUUGUUGGUGGGGUGAUGGCCUACCAAGGCGACGACGGGUAGCCGGCCUGAGAGGGUGACCGUCCACACUGGGACUGAGAGACGGCGCAGACUCCUACGGGAGGCAGCAGUGGGGAAUAUUGCACAAUGGGCGCAAGCCUGAUGCAGCGACGCCGCGUGAGGGAUGACGGCCUUCGGGUUGUAAACCUCUUUCAGCACCGACGAAGCGCAAGUGACGGUAGGUGCAGAAGAAGGACCGGCCAACUACGUGCCAGCCGCCGCGGUAA